rfam:Gossypium arboreum cultivar AKA8401 contig_54237_1, whole genome shotgun sequence.
UGUUAAAAAUUUAAUCCAAUCUUAAAAACUGGUGUGGCUGAUGAAAUAAUCUAAUAAUGACGUGAUGUGUCAUGUGUACCUCAUACUAAUGUAUAAGGACCAGUUUUUAAUAGUAGAAAUAGAUGAAAUUUUUAAUA